AUGGACCAAUCCAUCCCUUUUUCCCGUGCAUAUGCAUCGGACUCGGAUGACGAUGAUCCCGAUGAAGAAGUUGAUGAGGAGGGGUUCACGCCGAAGGAGGCCGAAGCAUUCAAGAAGGUAUUCGGGCGGGAUCACAAGACACCAUUGUUCAAGGAUCUUAGUCUCGCGGAUGAAGCCGUUGUAGAUGGUGGCAAAUGCAUAUCUCUUGGAGCUAAGCCAAGUUCUCAC
rnacentral:rRNA from 1 species